rnacentral:tRNA from 1 species
GCCCAGCUAGCUCAGUUGAUAAAGCAUAAAACUCUUAAUCUCAGGAUUGUGGGUUUGAGCCCCAUGUUGGGCA